rnacentral:snRNA from 1 species
GUGCUCACUUCAGCAGCAUAUAUAUUAAAAUUGGAAUGAUACAGAGAAGAUUAGCAUGGCCUUGUGCAAGGAUUUCACACACAUACACACACACACAAACGCACACA